AACGCUGGCGGCGUGCCUAACACAUGCAAGUCGAACGAGAAAGUGGGGGCAACUCCAUGAGUAAAGUGGCAGACGGGUGAGUAACACGUGAACAACCUACCCUCGAGUGUGGAAUAACACCGCGAAAGCGGUGCUAAUACCGCAUAACAUCUACGGAUCGCAUGAUCUGGAGAUCAAAAGCGCAAGUUGCUUGAGGAGGGGUUCGCGCCUGAUUAGCUAGUUGGUGAGGUAACGGCCCACCAAGGCAACGAUCAGUAGCCGGCCUGAGAGGGCGAACGGCCACACUGGAACUGCGACACGGUCCAGACUCCUACGGGAGGCAGCAGUGGGGAAUUUUGCGCAAUGGGCGAAAGCCUGACGCAGCAACGCCGCUUGGAGGAUGAAGGCCUUCGGGUCGUAAACUCCUGUCAGUGGGGACGAAUGCUUCGCAAGAAGUUUGACUGUACCCGCUGAGGAAGCCACGGCUAACUCCGUGCCAGCAGCCGCGGUAAUACGGAGGUGGCAAGCGUUGUUCGGAAUUACUGGGCGUAAAGGGCGCGUAGGCGGCUUGGCAAGUCAGAUGUGAAAGCCCCGGGCUUAACUCGGGAAUUGCAUCUGAAACUGCUGAGCUUGAGUCCUGGAUGGGAUAGUGGAAUUCCCAGUGUAGCGGUGAAAUGCGUAGAUAUUGGGAGGAACACCUGCGGCGAAGGCGGCUAUCUGGACAGUGACUGACGCUGAGGCGCGAAAGCUAGGGGAGCGAACGGGAUUAGAUACCCCGGUAGUCCUAGCUGUAAACGAUGGGCACUUGGUGUUGGGGGUAUUGAGUCCCUCGGUGCCGGAGUUAACACGUUAAGUGCCCCGCCUGGGGAGUACGGUCGCAAGA
rnacentral:rRNA from 1 species